rnacentral:rRNA from 1 species
GACGAACGCUGGCGGCGUGCUUAACACAUGCAAGUCGAACGGAAAGGCCCUGCUGUUGUGGGGUGCUCGAGUGGCGAACGUGUGAGUAACACGUGAGUAAGCUACGCUUGACUUUGGGGUACCUUACGGAAGCUGGGGCUAAUAACAGAUAGGAGCUGCUGGUGCAUGGUGGUGGUUGGGAAUUUUCGGCGGUUGGGGAUGGACUCGCGGCGUAUCAGCUUGUUGGUUGGGUAGUGGCUUACCAAGGCGUUGACGGGUAGCCGGCCUGAGAGGGUGACCGGCCCCAUUGGGACUGAGAUACGGCCCAGACUCCUACGGGAGGCAGCAGUGGAGAAUAGUACACAAUGGGCGGAAGCCUGAUGCAGCACCGCCGCAUGCGGGAUGACGGCCUUCGGGUUGUAAACCGCUUUCGCCUGUGACGAAGCGUGAGUGACGGUAAUGGGUAAAGAAGCACCGGCUAACUACGUG